rnacentral:lncRNA from 8 species
AUGUCCCAAAUGCCAGCCUAUUUCCUGUAUAGUGUAUUACUAUUGACCAGGGUCCAUAGGACUCGUGUCAAAAGAAGUGCACUAUAUAGCCUAGGGAAUAUGAUGCAACCUCAAUCAGGCCAUGGAGUCUCUUGUGAGAAUACUACUACUAGUUUAGCAAAUACUGCUGCUACUGCUGCUGCUGCUACUGCUGCUGCUGCUACUAUUACUGCUGCUACUAUUACUGCUGCUACUAUUACUGCUGCUACUAUUACUGCUGCUACUAUUACUGCUGCUACUAUUACUGCUGCUACUAUUACUGCAGCUACUAUUACUGCUGCUACUAAUACUGCUGCUGCAAUUGCUGCUGCUACUGCUAUUACGGCUACUGCUAUUACGGCUGCUGCUACUAUUACGGCUGCUGCUACUAUUACGGCUGCUGCUACUAUUACUGCUGCUGCUAUUAUUACUGCUGCUGCUAUUAUUACUGCUGCUGCUACUAUUACUGCUGCUGCUAUUAUUACUGCUGCUGCUACUAUUACGGCUGCUGCUACUAUUACUGCUGCUGCUAUUAUUACUGCUGCUGCUAUUAUUACUGCUGCUGCUAUUAUUACUGCUGCUGCUACUAUUACUGCUGCUGCUAUUAUUACUGCUGCUGCUAUUAUUACUGCUGCUGCUACUAUUACUGCUGCUGCUACUAUUACUGCUGCUGCUACUACUGCUGGUGCUACUACUGCUGGUGCUACUACUGCUGGUGCUACUACUGCUGGUGCUACUACUGCUGGUGCUGCCACUGCUGCUACGACUGCUACUGCUACUACUACUACUACUGCUGCCGCUGCUGCUACUACCGCUGCUGCUGCUGCUACUGCUACUACUGCUGCCACUACUGCUGCUGCCACUACUGCUACUGCUGCUGCUACUACUGCUGCUGCCACUACUGCUGCUGCCACUACUGCUACUACUGCUACUGCUGCUGCCGCUACUGCUGCCACUACUGCUGCUGCCACUACUGCUGCUGCCACUGCUACUGCUACUACUGCUACUGCUACUACUGCUACUGCUACUACUGCUGCUGCCACUACUGCUGCUGCCACUACUGCUGCUGCCACUACUGCUGCUGCCACUACUGCUGCUGCUACUACUGCUGCUGCUACUGCUGCUACUACUACUGCUGCCACUACUACUGCUGCCGCUACUGCUGCUACUACUGCUACUGCCACUACUGCUGCUGCUACUACUACUGCUACUACUACUCCUACUGCCACUACUGCUGCUGCUACUACUACUGCUACUACUACUCCUACUGCUACUACUGCUACUGCUACUACUGCUACUGCCACUACUGCUGCUGCUACUACUACUGCUGCUGCUGCUACUACAACUACUGCUGCUGCUGCUACUACUACUGCUGCUGCCACUGCUACUGCUACUACUGCUACUGCCACUACUGCUGCUGCUACUACUACUGCUGCUGCUGCUACUACUACUACUGCUGCUGCUGCUACUACUACUGCUGCUGCCACUGCUACUGCUACUACUGCUACUGCUACUACUGCUACUGCUACUACUGCUGCUGCCACUACUGCUGCUGCCACUACUGCUGCUGCCACUACUGCUGCUGCCACUACUGCUGCUGCUACUACUGCUGCUGCUACUGCUGCUACUACUACUGCUGCCACUACUACUGCUGCCGCUACUGCUGCUACUGCCACUACUGCUGCUGCUACUACUACUGCUACUACUACUCCUACUGCCACUACUGCUGCUGCUACUACUACUGCUGCUGCUACUGCUGCUGCUGCUACUACUACUGCUGCUGCUGCUACUGCUGCUGCUACUACUACUACCGCUGCUACUGCUGAUGCUACGACUACUACUGCUGCUGCUGCUGCUACUACUGCUGCUGCUACUACCACUGCUACUACUGCUGCUACUGCUGCUACUAUUACUACUGCUACUGCUGCCACUGCUGCCACUGCUGCUACUGCCGCUACUGCUGCUACUACUACUGCUGCUACUGCUGCUACUACUACUACUACUGCUGCCACUGCUGCUACUGCUGCUACUACUACUACUGCUGCCACUACUGCUACUGCUGCUACUGCCGCUACUGCUGCUACUGCUGCUACUGCCGCUACUGCUGCUACUGCCGCUACUACUGCUACUGCCGCUACUGCCGCUACUGCUACUACUGCUACUGCUGCCACUACUGCUUCUGCUACUACUGCUGCUGCUGCUGCUACAUGGAGCAAAAAUAUAAAGACACCAUGUAAAAUGUUGGUUUCAUGA